GAACAGGAUUAGAUACCCUGGUAGUCCACGCCGUAAACGAUGAGUGCUAAGUGUUAGGGGGUUUCCGCCCCUUAGUGCUGCAGCUAACGCAUUAAGCACUCCGCCUGGGGAGUACGGUCGCAAGACUGAAACUCAAAGGAAUUGACGGGGGCCCGCACAAGCGGUGGAGCAUGUGGUUUAAUUCGAAGCAACGCGAAGAACCUUACCAGGUCUUGACAUCCUCUGACAAUCCUAGAGAUAGGACGUCCCCUUCGGGGGCAGAGUGACAGGUGGUGCAUGGUUGUCGUCAGCUCGUGUCGUGAGAUGUUGGGUUAAGUCCCGCAACGAGCGCAACCCUUGAUCUUAGUUGCCAGCAUUCAGUUGGGCACUCUAAGGUGACUGCCGGUGACAAACCGGAGGAAGGUGGGGAUGACGUCAAAUCAUCAUGCCCCUUAUGACCUGGGCUACACACGUGCUACAAUGGACAGAACAAAGGGCAGCGAAACCGCGAGGUUAAGCCAAUCCCACAAAUCUGUUCUCAGUUCGGAUCGCAGUCUGCAACUC
rnacentral:rRNA from 1 species